rnacentral:rRNA from 1 species
UACGAGGGGAGCAAGCGUUGUUCGGAUUUACUGGGCGUAAAGGGCGCGUAGGCGGUCGUGACAAGUCACUUGUGAAAUCUCCGGGCUUAACUCGGAACGGUCAAGUGAUACUGUCGGACUAGAGUACAGAAGGGGCAACUGGAAUUCUCGGUGUAGCGGUGAAAUGCGUAGAUAUCGAGAGGAACACCUGCGGCGAAGGCGGGUUGCUGGGCCGACACUGACGCUGAUGCGCGAAAGCCAGGGGAGCGAACGGG